GACGAACGCUGGCGGCAUGCCUAACACAUGCAAGUCGAACGAAACGUCCGGGCCUUUUGGCGCACGGCUGCGUAAGGCGUGGGAAGCUGCACUUAGGUUCGGCAUAACUCCCCGAAAGGGGUGCUAAUACCGGAUAAGGUCUUAGGACCAAAGAUUUAUUGCCUCUGGAUGGGCCCGCGUUAGAUUCGGUGGUUGGUAGGGUAAGAGCCUACCAAGGCCACGAUCCAUAGCUGGUCUGAGAGGAGGAUUAGCAACGCUGGGACUCAGACACGGCCCAGACUCCUACGGAAGGGAGCAGAGGGGAAUAUUGGACGAUGGAGGAAGGCCUGAUCCAGCAAUGCCGCGGAAGUGAUGAUGGCCGUAGGGUUGUAAUGCUCUUUUACCCGGGAUGAUAGUGACGGUACCGGGUGAAUAAGCUCCGGCUAACUACGUG
rnacentral:rRNA from 1 species